CCCAGACAGCCAGGAUGUUGGCUUAGAAGCAGCCAUCAUUUAAAGAAAGCGUAAUAGCUCACUGGUCGAGUCGGCCUGCGCGGAAGAUGUAACGGGGCUAAACCAUGCACCGAAGCUGCGGCAGCGAACGUAUCACCCAAGACAACUUUACGGAGUUGACGAUUGACGGAGCGAAGCGACGUCAAAGCGUUCAUUAAAGUCGAGUUGGCUUAGGGAUACGUUCGUUGGGUAGGGGAGCGUUCUGUAAGCCUGUGAAGGUGGCCUGUGAGGGUUGCUGGAGGUAUCAGAAGUGCGAAUGCUGACAUAAGUAACGAUAAAGCGGGUGAAAAGCCCGCUCGCCGGAAGACCAA
rnacentral:rRNA from 11 species